GGCACAGACAUCUGAGGACAUGGCCGUCCAAGAAGAAAAUGUAGCCAUUGAUGCCAUCUAUCGACCGCAGGUUAAAGAUUGGCGAUCCGUUGGAUACCGACCGAGUUAUAGGCAAAACUUGGUGCAAAAAUGAGGAAAAUUUUACAUUUUCUCAAACAGGGUAAGGAACUUGGUUCCUCGAAUAACUUCUGGCACAGACAUCUGAGGACAUGGCCGUCCAAGAAGAAAAUGUAGCCAUUGGUGCCAUCUAUCGAGCACUGGUUAAAGAUUGGCGAUCCGUUGGAUACCGACCGAGUUAUAGUCAAAACUUGGCGCAAAAAUGAGCCUUAGUAAAAUUUCAUGUUUUUGAAUUUUUUGAUUUUUUUAUUAAUUUUCACUCUUUUUUUU